CAAUAGCGUAUAUUAAAGUUGUUGCAGUUAAAAAGCUCGUAGUUGGAUUUGUGGUGUGGCUUGUCGGCCGAUGGACUUUGUCUGUUGUGCUGUACGGGCCCGCCUUUUAUGGGACUGUCUUCUUUGUGGCAUUAGGUUGUCGCAUUGUUGAUGCCCAUCGUUUACUGUGAAAAAAUUAGAGUGUUCAAAGCAGGCUUAUGCCGUUGAAUAUAUUAGCAUGGAAUAAUGAUAUAGGACCUUGGUACUAUUUUGUUGGUUUGCGCACUGAGGUAAUGAUUAAUAGGGACAGUUGGGGGUAUUCGUAUUCCAUUGUCAGAGGUGAAAUUCUUGGAUUUUUGGAAGACGAACUACUGCGAAAGCAUUUACCAAGGAUGUUUUCAUUAA
rnacentral:rRNA from 1 species